ACGCUCGACACCUACGGAGAGGCAGCAGUGGGGGAUAUUGCACAAUGGGGGAAACCCUGAUGCAGCAACGCCGCGUGAAGGAAGAAGGUCUUCGGAUUGUAAACUUCUGUCCUCAGGGAAGAUAAUGACGGUACCUGAGGAGGAAGCUCCGGCUAACUACGUACCACGCAGCCGCCGGUAAGUACUGAGCGGGCGUGGCAAGGC
rnacentral:rRNA from 1 species